ACGCUCGACACCUACGGGGGGCAGCAGUGAGGAAUAUUGGUCAAUGGGCGCUAGCCUGAACCAGCCAAGUAGCGUGAAGGAUGAAGGCUCUAUGGGUCGUAAACUCCUUUUAUAUAAGAAUAAAGUGCAGUAUGUAUACUGUUUUGUAUGUAUUAUAUGAAUAAGGGUCGGCUAACUCCGUGCUAGCAGCCGCGGUAAUCUGAGGCGGGCGUGGCGAAGGC
rnacentral:rRNA from 1 species